rnacentral:rRNA from 1 species
CCCCUGUUAGGGGAGUGAAAUAGUACCUGAAACCGUAUACUGACAAGCUGACAGAGCCCUAUAUGGGUGAUGUCGUGCCUAUUGAAGAAUGAGCCAGCGAGUUAAUUCGCACUGUAAGUUUAAGCCAUUGUAAUGGUGUAGACAUAGUGAAAGCGAGUGAUCUGAAUAGGAUCCAUAAUAGUGCGGAUUAGACCCGAAACCAGGUGAGCUACCCAUGUCCAGGGUGAACGUCAUAGAAAUAUGGCGGGAGGCCCGAACCAGUAAGAGCUGCAAGUCUUUUGGAUGAGUUGUGGGUCGGAGUAAAAUGCUAAUCGAACCUGGAGAUAGCUGGUUCUCCCCGAAAUAUAUUUAGGUAUAGGCUCGUAUAAAAUAGUACAACAGGGGUAGAGCACUGGAUGGGUGUUCGGUGAGAAAUCGUCGACAUUCAAUCAAACUCCGAAUACUGUUGUAUGUUCUACGGGACUCAGUACGGCGGGGCUAAGCCCGUCGGGCGAGAGGGAAACAUCCCAGACCCUCGUCUAAGGUCUCUAAUUGAUUGCUUAGUGGGAAAGGAAGUCAUAUUACCCAGACACCCAGGAGGUCGGCUUAGAAGCAGCCAUCCUUGAAAGAAAGCGUAACAGCUCACUGGCCGAGGAAUAUGGCGCCGAAGAUUCACGAGGCUGAAGCAAUCAACCGAAGACAGGGAUUUAUUUUAAUUUAUUAAAAUAUCUGGUAGGGGAGCGUUCUUAUUGCAGUGAAGGUAACUCGUAAGGGUUAUUGGAGCGGUAAGAAGUGAGAAUGCUGGCAUGAGUAGCGAGAAACUAGUGAGAAUCUAGUUCACCGAAUACCCAAGGUUUCCGGAGCAACGUUCGUCGUCUCCGGGUUAGGCAACCCUAAGGUGAGGCCUAAAGGCGUAACCGAUGGAUUAUGGGUUAAUAUUCCCAUCCUUGGCAUAUUUCGUUAUUAGUUGGGGCGGGACGCAUCCUGCUAUCUCAAGCGUAUUAUUGAUUUUACGUUUAAUCAACAAGUUAGUUUCUGUAGGCAAAUCCGCAGAAAUGUUUUAAGGCGAGUUGUGAUGACGAUCCUGACCGUAAGUGAAGGAGAGUUGAGAGAUGUAAGGUGCCGAGAAAAGCGUCGCGAUGAGAAAUAUAUCAAUCCGUACCGACAACCGACACAGGUGGGUAGGUCGAGAAGACUAAGGUGAGCGGGAGAACCUCUUUUAAGGAAUUCGGCAAAUUAGCUGGGCGUACGUUCGCAAUAUGCCCUCCCUGUCUAGUACAGGGCACAGCAACCGUCUACGGAGGGACUGUUUAACAAAAACACAGGUCUAUGCAAACUCGAAAGAGGAAGUAUAUGGGCUGAAACCUGCCCAGUGCCGGAAGGUUAACUGAGAGGGUUUUUACGAUUUAUCGUAAAGGCCUUUGAUUGAAGCCCCGGUGAACGGCAGCAGUAACUAUAACUGUUCUAUGGUAGCGAAGUUCCUUGUCGCUUAAUUGGCGACCCGCACGAAAGGUGUAACCACUCCGUAACUGUCUUGAAAGGGGACCCGGCGAAAUUGAAAUGGCUGUGAAGAUGCGGCCUACUGGCAGCAGGACAAAAA